UUGCAAUGAUGUGUCUGAAUUUCUUCAACUGAAUGUAACCGUGAGGAUCAACUUUUUUGCCUGAGCAAG